GACGAACGCUGGCGGCGUGCCUAAUACAUGCAAGUAGAACGCUGAAGGAGGAGCUUGCUUCUCCGGAUGAGUUGCGAACGGGUGAGUAACGCGUAGGUAACCUGCCUGGUAGCGGGGGAUAACUAUUGGAAACGAUAGCUAAUACCGCAUAAGAGUAGAUGUUGCAUGACAUUUGCUUAAAAGGUGCAAUUGCAUCACUACCAGAUGGACCUGCGUUGUAUUAGCUAGUUGGUGGGGUAACGGCUUACCAAGGCGACGAUACAUAGCCGACCUGAGAGGGUGAUCGGCCACACUGGGACUGAGACACGGCCCAGACUCCUACGGGAGGCAGCAGUAGGGAAUCUUCGGCAAUGGACGGAAGUCUGACCGAGCAACGCCGCGUGAGUGAAGAAGGUUGUCGGAUCGUAAAGCUCGGUUGUAAGAGAAGAACGAGUGUGAGAGUGGAAAGUUCACACUGUGACGGUAUCUUACCAGAAAGGGACGGCUAACUACGUG
rnacentral:rRNA from 1 species